AGUGUAGCGAGGGGUGGUAACUCCACCACCGUUGGCUUAACUGCUAAAAUGGCGGCCAACGGUAGAGGAGUUCCUCAUUCUCGCUACACA
rnacentral:pre_miRNA from 1 species